UGGAGCUCAAUGGUAGAGUAUGUGCUUAGCAUGCUCAAGGUUCUGGGUUCGAUUCCCAGCA
rnacentral:tRNA from 1 species